UUUCUAAUUAUGAGCCUAUUAGAGGCCCUGCCUAUCUCCAUGGUGACCACAUAGUUCUUCAUCAGCUGUAAAUUAACCCCUGAUUAGCUGCUUGCCAUCUCCUAAAGAUGCUGUUCCACCUGUCCUGAUGCUUAGCCAUGACUACAGAAUCUCAAACCAACGAAGAAGAAAAGAAACUACUUUGGGCAGAGUCUAUAGAUCAUAAAUGUGAUGAAUGGGUCCCAUCUGUGCAACACAACUUUAAACAAAGCCACACUGAACCAAUGCACAGAGUCAGAACAUCCCAGAACGUGAGCAAGAAAAGACCAUUUCCAUUCAGUUCUAAGUAAAUGCAUCAUUGCCUAAACUGUGACCAAAUAUAACAAAGGAGAUGCCACAGCAUCAUUUUUUUGCAGGUAUCUCAUUUAUACUCAUAACUACCUCACAUUGCUAGUCU